GCUUCUAUAAUUUUCGAAGCUUGAAAUAAUUGAGAUACAGAAAAUACAAGUAUCAUUAGACUGCAAAUCGAAUAUGGAAUGAUAUAUCAUUAGACCGCAAAAGGGUCUUCUAUUGCCCGAUAUAUUUCUAAUUUAAUUAAAAUGGCGUACAUAAUCGAAUCUGGACCACAAAUCCUAAUGCACACCAUAUUUAUGAAAUUUAACUUCGAUGACGUAAGAAUCGAAAUCUGGACCACUCAAACGUAUCAAUGGUUGCAGUCUUCAAAAUUUUCUAAUAGGAGCCAAAUAUUUGAAGGUUGGCUUCUUCAUUUUCGACAACAAGGAAUGUCAUCCAUGAACACCGAGCAGGAUGGAUGCGGUUGGUAAUAUAUUUCGUCUCACCACCAUAGCUUCUCCAGAGUUCCAUUGUUAACCCCUGAAAUUAAAUUCCACAAAAUUAAAACUUCAAGAUUAAUCAUUGCACAAGUAAAAGUUUCAUCAAUUUUUAUCACAAAUUAAAGUAGAUUUUAUUCUUUCUAAUAUUUAGUUGAAAUGAUGAUUCGAGAUAAUUCGCCAACACUCGGUCUAAACCAUCUACAAGGAACCAAGGACCUUUGUCUACCUGAAAAGGAAUGCUAAAAUCCGUUUACAGCCUGCCCCAUCGUGUAUAUAAUAUAAUAAUGUCUAGAAGUUUAAAGAUAACUAAAUAAUUACACAACACACAUCAUCUUUCCCAUAACACUUUAUAUUUUUUCUUGAAUUCAGAACAAUCCAUUUGAGAAAUCCAUUUAUUGAGCAAACAAUUUUCAAAUCUAGAGCUGUUAUAGAUUUCCUCUUUUUUUUUUUUUUUUUUCUAGCAGAACAAAGUACUUACACAUUUUUAAUUCUGAGAGCACAUCGAAGUUCACCAACUCCAUAAUUGCAAUAUACGCUAUAUACAAAGAAAAUAUUCAUUUAGUAAUGCAAGAAAAAUUGUCGGUUACAAAUACUUAAUCAAGUAGGUAAGAAUUCCAGUGGAUAUUAAACUUACUGAUACACAGCCAAGGAAACUGUCAGUUAACGAAAUCCCCCGAGUGCUUAUGAUCCAACAAAGCCAAAUCUUAAUCCACGUUUAUACCCUAUCCCUGUUCAUAAUGGUGUACAUAAUGAUAAUCCUAAUCCUGAACCUCAAAAUUCUAUCUAUCAUCUCCCAAUCCAAAUCAGUGUUUAUCCAACUUAUGAGAUCAAUGGAACAUUAACUCAAAAACAAUUUCUUAUGAGCCAACCAAGCCAAAUUAAAUAGGUUCCAUCCUCAUAUAUACCUAAAUAAAAACGAACACUAAAUAAUUCCAUUAAAGCAGCAAAAUCACAACCAUACUCAUAUGCACCUAAAAAUUAACAUAACAAAAAUAUAGGAAACUGCAUAAACGAAGCACCUUAAUAUAUGGAUGUACAUACGUAUGAAGUCGAUGUUAGAAAAACACAAAUGAAUCUAUUUUUACAGACAUAAAUCAAAGCAAGUACUUUUUGUUGCUUUCAAACCCGAAUUCCAACUUUCUCCGUCUCUUAGCUUGCCCAUCGUAGAAGAUUGAGAGGGGGCGGCCAGACCAUCAUAUUUCCCAGUGAUUCCAUCUUUCUUGGUUUUCUUGGCCAUCGGAAAGUAAUUGACGGGGCCGGCGAGACGAUUAAGCAGAGCGAAGAAAGUAGGGAUCCUGCUUAAUCUCAUCGGCAUAUAUUUCGUUUUGGUG
rnacentral:lncRNA from 1 species